ACGAGUUAAACAAAUCGGUUGUUGCUGGUCUUUCGGGGCAUGUGCACACCUAUUUACUCAUCCACAUACACCUGUGCACCUUUGUAGUCUCUUUUUUGUUUCUAAUAUAAAGUGGAAAGCCAUUCACUUGGUUGAAAGCUUUGUAAUGGAGGGGGAAAAGAGUUCUACGUCUUAUACACACACUAUAAGUUUUAGAAUGUAUAUUUUUGCUAUAAAACGCAUUUAAAUA
rnacentral:misc_RNA from 1 species